rnacentral:piRNA from 1 species
UCCGAAAGCAAAAGCAGGGACCACAUGAGC